rnacentral:rRNA from 1 species
GAUGAACGCUGGCGGCGUGCCUAAUACAUGCAAGUCGAGCGAACGGACGAGAAGCUUGCUUCUCUGAUGUUAGCGGCGGACGGGUGAGUAACACGUGGAUAACCUACCUAUAAGACUGGGAUAACUUCGGGAAACCGGAGCUAAUACCGGAUAAUAUUUUGAACCGCAUGGUUCAAAAGUGAAAGACGGUCUUGCUGUCACUUAUAGAUGGAUCCGCGCUGCAUUAGCUAGUUGGUAAGGUAACGGCUUACCAAGGCAACGAUGCAUAGCCGACCUGAGAGGGUGAUCGGCCACACUGGAACUGAGACACGGUCCAGACUCCUACGGGAGGCAGCAGCAGGGAAUCUUCCGCAAUGGGCGAAAGCCUGACGGAGCAACGCCGCGUGAGUGAUGAAGGUCUUCGGAUCGUAAAACUCUGUUACUAGGGAAGAACAUAUGUGUAAGUAACUGUGCACAUCUUGACGGUACCUAAUCAGAAAGCCACGGCUAACUACGUG